rnacentral:misc_RNA from 1 species
UGAUUGCAGAUUCAGUGAAUCAUCGAAUCUUUGAACGCAACUUGCGCUCUCUGGUAUUCCGGAGAGCAUGCCUGUUUGAGUAUCAUGAAAUCUCAACCAUUAGGGUUUCUUAAUGGCUUGGAUUUGGGCGCUGCCACUUGCCUGGCUCGCCUUAAAGAGUUACCGUAUUAACUUGUCGAUCUGGCGUAUAAGUUUCGCUGGUGUAGACUUGAGAACUGCGCUUCUAAUCGUCUUCGGACAAUUCUUGAACUCUGGUCUCAAUCAGGAGGACUACCCGCUGAACUUAAGCAUAACAAUAAGCGGAAA